CCUCUACAAGUGUGACAUCAGCGGUCAUGGAGAGUCUCCAUCCAGCUGGAUCACUGUCACAGACAAACACACCACCACACCUACACCUCCACCUACAUCCACCUCUAACCCUGCAUCUAGUCGUGAUCCAGCUUUAGUGAGAACCUAAGACAUCUGAGAAAACAGACCCAAAGUUUCUGCAGAUCAGAGUGAACCACCAGUCCAACAACUGCAACCAAGCUUCUGGUCUUUCUUUGUUUCUUUUAUAAGAUUCUACUGAUAAAAUAAACUAACAAAUAAAUGAAAAAAUAUAAAAAUGCAAAAAAAAAAUUAAAAAAAAUCCUUAUAUAACUAGUAAUAAAAGAAAUGUAAAACAAAAACAUUAUAAAA